rnacentral:rRNA from 1 species
UUUCGGGUCUCGUAAUUGGAAUGAGUACAAUUUAAAUCCCUUAACGAGGAACAAUUGGAGGGCAAGUCUGGUGCCAGCAGCCGCGGUAAUUCCAGCUCCAAUAGCGUAUAUUAAAGUUGUUGCAGUUAAAAAGCUCGUAGUUGAAUUUCGGGAUUGGCGCAUCGGUCGUGCCUCACGGGGUAUGAACUGGUGCAGUCAAUUUCUCACCUUCUGGAGAACCGCGAUGUCCUUAAUUGGAUGCCGCGGGGAACCAGGACCUUUACUUUGAAAAAAUUAGAGUGUUUAAAGCAGGCAUUUUUGCUUGAAUACAUUAGCAUGGAAUAAUAAAAUAGGACGGCAUGGUUCUAUUUUGUUGGUUUCUAGGACCACCGUAAUGAUUAAUAGGGAUAGUUGGGGGCAUUAGUAUUCAAUUGUCAGAGGUGAAAUUCUUGGAUUUAUUGAAGACUAACUACUGCGAAAGCAUUUGCCAAGGAUGUUUUCAUUAAUCAAGAACGAAAGUUAGGGGAUCGAAGACGAUCAGAUACCGUCAUAGUCUUAACCAUAAACUAUGCCGACUAGGAAUCAGACGAUGUUAAUUUUUUAAUGACUCGUUUGGCACCUUACGGGAAACCAAAGUGUUUGGGUUCCGGGGGGAGUAUGGUCGCAAGCUGAAACUUAAAGGAAUUGACGGAAGGGCACCACCAGGGGUGGAGCCUGCGGCUUAAUUUGACCCAACACGGGAAAACUUACCAGGUCCAGACAUAGUAAGGAUUGACAGAUUGAGAGCUCUUUCUUGAUUCUAUGGGUGGUGUUGCAUGGCCGUUCUUAGUUGGUGGAGUGAUUUGUCUGGUUAAUUCCGUUAACGAACGAGACCUUAACCUGCUAAAUAGUUAAACCUGACUUUUUGUCAGGUUGACAACUUCUUAGAGGGACUAUCGGUGUUUAACCGAUGGAAGUUUGAGGCAAUAACAGGUCUGUGAUGCCCUUAGAUGUUCUGGGCCGCACGCGCGCUACACUGAUAAAGUCAACAAGUAACUAACCUUUGCCGGAAGGCAUGGGUAAUCUUUUGAAACUUUAUCGUGCUGGGGAUAGAGCAUUGCAAUUAUCGCUCUUCAACGAGGAAUCCCUAGUAAGCGUAAGUCAUCAGCUUGCGUUGAUUACGUCCCUGCCCUUUGUACACACCGCCCGUCGCUACUACCGAUUGAAUGGCUUAGUGAGGUCUUCGGAUCGGCGGUUGAUGAGUAGCAAUAUUCGCCGGUUGCUGAGAAGUUGAUCAAACUUGG